CAUUCCUGCUCCUACAAGCAUAGAACGAGCAUCUGCAAGUCAGAUCGGUUUGAAGAAUUUGAUAAGUGAAAGGCAGAGCGUCCAUUGUCUUGCUGCCCUUGUCUCCAUGUGUUGUCGUCAAAGCAAGUUUUGAGAUGCAAGAGGAACAUGCUGCUGGUGACUCCUCUGAAGUCAAGGGACGCUGUUUGGUCUACAAGAAAAAAAAAGAAUCCCGGUAUGCAGCAUGUGAGACACUCUGAGAGAGAUGUUGUUGCUCAUGACGGUGAAGAGGUUCUGUGUUGUUUCAAAAUGCCCUCUAGCGGCUAUGUGGUGCAUUGAUGGCGGUUCUACUGCUCCUAGGCUUGCCGAUGCCUCCCGCGCUCCUCAUGUGGCUGUAGGCUUGGGUGGCCAUGGCUUUGACCUCCUCGGCGUGGCAGCCGUGCGUCCCAGCCUUGGCUACAAGAUCUCCGGAGUCUGGUGAGCUGU